UAUCAGUCAUGCAUAGCAUAUCAAUAAGCGGAGGAAAAGAAACUAACAAGGAUUCCCUUAGUAACGGCGAGUGAAGCGGGAAGAGCUCAAAUUUGAAAUCUUCAAGGUUUUACCUUGACGAAUUGUAGUUUAAAGAAGUGUUUUCUGUUGAAGUUUUGGUAAAAGUUCUUUGGAAUAGGACAUCAUAGAGGGUGAGAAUCCCGUAUUUGACCAUUACUUUCAGCUUUGUGAUACACUUUCAAAGAGUCGGAUUGUUUGGGAAUGCAGUCCAAAAUGGGUGGUAAAUUUCAUCUAAAGCUAAAUAUUGGCGAGAGACCGAUAGCGAACAAGUACCGUGAGGGAAAGAUGAAAAGAACUUUGAAAAGAGAGUUAAACAGUACGUGAAAUUGUCAAAAGGGAAGCGUUUGACACCAGUGUUGUUUUCUCGAAAAUCAAUUAAAAAGAGUUGGAUUUUGUGUUGUAUUGACUUUAUCAGCUUUCUUCACUCUUUUCCAGCUUUUUUUAAUGCACUUUUCGUUUAACAAGUCAACAUCAGUUUCUUUUGUUAUAAAAAGGUCAUUGGAAGGUGGCUUUCUCUUCGGAGAAAGUGUUUAUAGCCUUUGACUCAUGCAAUCGGAGAGACUGAGGUCUGCAGCGUAGAUCCUUCGGGGUUAGAUACAUUUGUGCUAAGUUAUAGCUUUUCAUAGACAACUUGUUGACUAUGUUUAGUCUUGUAGCUUACUCGCUUAUGCUAUUUUACCUACGCUUAGGAUGUUGAACUCUAUCACACACAG
rnacentral:rRNA from 1 species